rnacentral:rRNA from 1 species
CGUAGGUAACCUGCCUGGUAGCGGGGGGUAACUAUUGGAAACGAUAGCUAAUACCGCAUAACAGUCGACAUUGCAUGAUGUUGAUUUGAAAGGGGGCAAUUGCUCCACUACCAGAUGGACCUGCGUUGUAUUAGCUAGUUGGUGAGGUAACGGCUCACCAAGGCGACGAUACAUAGCCGACCUGAGAGGGUGAUCGGCCACACUGGGACUGAGACACGGCCCAG